rnacentral:RNase_P_RNA from 1 species
GAAGCUGGCCAGGCAACCGCCGGGCGCGCAAGCGCCGGGAGGAAAGUCCGGGCUCCGCAGAGCAGGAUGCCGGCUAACGGCCGGGCGCUAUAAGGCGAAAGCCCCAAGGCGACGGAAAGUGCAACAGAGAACAGACCGCCGAUGGCCGCAAGGCACAGGCAAGGGUGAAACGGCGAGGUAAGAGCUCACCGCGGACGUGGUAACACGGACGGCACGGCAAACCCCAUCCGGAGCAAGGCCAAAUAGGGAAGCGUAGGGCGUGGCUCGCGCUGCUUCCGGGUAGGCCGCUUGAGCGGCGCGGCAACGCGUCGCCUAGAGGAAUGGUUGCCCACGACAGAACCCGGCUUAUCGGCCAGCUUCACUU